rnacentral:lncRNA from 1 species
CCAAAAUCGGAACCCCCCCAAAAUAGAGACCCUAAAGGGGGAUCCUAAAUGGAACCCCAUAGCGGGACCCUAACAGGGAAUGUGUGGAAGCAGAGCAGCGGCCAGGAGCUGAGGGUGAAAUUAACGCCUUUAUUAAUUAGUGCUUAAUGAAGGCAGCAGCGGGCGGCGGCGCAACGCAGCGCAGCGGGACGGCGGCUCCUUAAUGGCGUUCAGCCAAAGGAGAGGAUUCACUGCAGUGGGGCACAGCUAUGGGGCAGAGCUAUGGGGCAGAGCUAUGGGGCAGAGCUAUGAGACAACUUAUGGGACAGGCUAUGGGGCAGAGCUAUGGGGAAGAGCUAUAGGGAAGAGCUAUGGGGCAAUCUGUGGGGCACUGCUAUGGGGCAGAGCUAUGGCACAGAGCUAUGGGGCGGAGCUAUGGGGCGGAGCUAUGGGGCAGAGCUAUGGGGCAGAGCUAUGGGGCAAUGUAUGAGACAACUUAUGGGGCAGAGCUAUGGGGAAGAGCUAUAGGGAAGAGCGAUGGGGCAAUCUGUGGGGCACUGCUAUGGGGCAGUCUAUGGGGCAGAGCUAUGGGGCAAUCUAUGGGGCAGUCUAUGGGGCAGUCUAUGGGGCAAUCUAUGGGGCAGAGCUAUACGUUAAUCUAUGAGACAACUUAUGGGGCAGAGCUAUGGGGCAGCCUAUGGGGCAGUCUAUGGGGCAAUCUAUGGGUUAGAGCUAUAGGGCAGAGCUAUGGGGCAAUCUAUGGGGCAGAGCUAUGAGAAAACUUAUGGGGCAGAGCUAUGGGGCACUCUAGGGGGCAAUAUCUAGGGCAGAGAUAAGGGGCAGAGCUAUGGGGCAAUCUAUGGGGCAGAGCUAUGAGGCAAUUCAUGGGGCUGUAUCUAUGGGGCAGAGCUAUAGGGCAAUAUAUGGGGUGGAGCUAUAGGGCUGUAUAGUUCCAUUGCACCACCCCAUCCAUGUCUGACCCCAUACGGACCCCACAGCUCCGCCCCAUUCAUGUCUGACCCCAUACAGACCCCACAGCUCCGCCCCAUUCCUGUCUGACCCCAUACGCAGCCCCACAGCUGCAGCGCCGCUCCCCGCGGCAGACUUUUAUAGAGAGGCGGUCGUGACGUCAUCACAGCACAGCCAAUGGGCGCGUUCCAGGAGAGUCUCACUGCUCUGCUAUUGGUGGAUCUUCACAAAGCCCCGCCCCCCCCGUCCGCCCGCAGAGCCAGCGCGCCGCCGUGGGCGGGCGGAGAGUGACGGGCGGACGGGGACAGCGGAGGACUGACGACGGACGACGGCCGGACGACGGCCGGACGCAGG